GAAAUCAAGAAAAAAAAAGUAGUAAAAUCAGAAAAUCAGACUGGUAAAAACGUCGAAUGUGAUGACAUUGGAUAUCAUGAAUUGCAACCAAGAAAGGUAGACUGUUGCCUCUGACAACCGGAAAGCUUGCCCGAGGUUUGCCCGACAUAGCAACAACUAAUGUAUGCAAAGUGGAUUCCAAGUAUUGAAAUACCAUUGUGAGGUUCAGGUUAAUGGAAUAACUCGUUAAAUACUCGGUCCCGAGGGAAGAAACAUCCAUAAAUUUGACUACAUUAGUAAACCGGUCUAUAUAUGUUGCACAGAACGGUACCGGUUGUAAGCCCUCUUACCACCAAUUGUGAAAGGGGCUUGGAAUUCUCCUAAAUGAAAGCCCAUUUCUGUUUCAUCUCCAAGAUUUCGUUUCCACAAUACAGUCAAUUUGGGGCCUAGUAAAUAAAUAAAUCACACAAGUAUGAAAUGAAAAUUAUGCAUAGAAAACAAGGGUAAUUAUUCUGGAUUGUGGCAGGGGGCUCAUAUAUGGAAAUCAUUUUAAAAUGAACAAUCAUAAAUCAUUUCCCCCGUUCUUGAUAAUAAACAAGAGCAUGCGUAGGUGGCAAUUCCGCGGGAGAAGGAGGGGGCGUUCCACCUCGAAACUUUGAAUUUUGUAAAGUAGCUAAUGAGAAGAGGUCGUCCCCCUCCCCUCCGCGCCCC